AACGAACGCUGGCGGCAGGCCUAACACAUGCAAGUCGAGCGAACCCUUCGGGGUUAGCGGCGGACGGGUUAGUAACGCGUGGGAAUAUACCCUUUGGUACGGAAUAGCCUCGGGAAACUGAGAGUAAUACCGUAUGUGCCCUUCGGGGAAGAUUUAUCGCCAAAGGAUUAGCCCGCGUUGGAUUAGAUAGUUGGUGGGGUAAAGGCCUACCAAGGCGACGAUCCGUAGCUGGUCUGAGAGGAUGAUCAGCCACACUGGGACUGAGACACGGCCCAGACUCCUACGGGAGGCAGCAGUGGGGAAUUUUGGACAAUGGGCGAAAGCCUGAUCCAGCCAUGCCGCGUGAGUGAAGAAGGCCUCGGUGUAAGACUCUUCUAGUGGAAGAAAGACGGAU
rnacentral:rRNA from 1 species